rnacentral:lncRNA from 1 species
GGCUCUGGGCUCAACUUUGUUUGUGCAGGAUCACAGAGUGGCCAUGUGUUAGGCGAUACAUAUGGUUUCACUUUUAUGUAAAGCUCGUGUUUACAUCUAAUGUAUCAGGCAAUUACAGCUGGUCCCGGCACCACGUUUGAGACAGCGUGUCUACAACCCACGGAGAGCAUUUUCUGGGAUGAGCAGAGCAAGGACGCAACGCAAUUCUGUAUAUGGGAUUGAGAAUGUAAAUAAAAGCUUUGAGGUCAGUUUCAGUAACUGACAAUUGGCUUUGUGCAUUUCACUGCCCGGCAUUCAGCACUAAUCCCUCAUCUACCACACCGAUCUCAAAGACAGAGCGAUUCCGCAGAAGUCGAUGGAUUCGACUGGUCGGUGCGAACCGCCAAGCCCCCGGUAUCGUGACAGCUUUGUAUAAACACGAAAACACCAGAAACACAAACAAGCAAGGGAGCGAGAGGAGCCUUCACCUCUCGUCAUUCACAUGCCGGCACGGUGCCAUCCCUGCUUCACCUCUCCCCUCCGUGUCAUCACCGGGAUCGCCGAGGCGGGCAAUGCGGAGGAACGCGCGGGCUCGUGUCACAUGCGGGACACGCACUGACAUCAACACACGGGAGGGGAAAAACACCCAGACCACCCCAAAAAUCCCAACACAACCACGCGUGUUCCGCCCUCGGCCGACGGAGCGAUCCUUGCUCCCAUACACAAAGCGGCGGGGAUGACAGCUGCUCUGCACCUGGGCUGGGGUGGCAAGGGGCGGAGGAACGAGGGGCAGCAAAUUCCGGGGGUGGUUUGGGGGGCCUGGGAUGGGGCACAGCGAACCUGCCCUGGCGUAAUUUGGGGAGGUGCGACUGUGGGAUGGGGCACAGGGCUGAACCCUCAGGGUGGUGUUUGGGACGGGGCACAGGGCUGAAUCCUCAGGGUGGUGUUUGGGACGGGGCACAGGGCUGGUUCUUCCGGGAUCAUGUAGGGGAUGGGGGACCAGGAUGAAUCCUCAGGGUGGUGUUUGGGAUGGGGCACAGGGCUGGUUCCUCCGGGAUCAUUUUUGGGACGGGACACAGGCAAGGACCCUCGGACAGGUGUGUGGGAUGGGGCACAAGGCUGGCUCCUCCGGGAUCAUUUUUGGGACGGGACACAGGGAAGGAUCCCCUCGGGCAGGUGUGUGGGACGGGACACAGGGAAGGACCCUCGGGCAGGUGUGUGGGACGGGGCACAGGGCUGGUUCCUCCGGGAUCAUUUUUGGGACGGGGCACAGGGAAGGACCCUCAGGGAGGUGUGUGGCACGGGGCACAGGGCUGGUUCCUCCGGGGUCAUUUUUGGGACGGGGCACAGGGAAGGACCCUCAUGGAGCUGUGUGGCACGGGGCACAGGGAAGGACCCUCGGGCAGGUGUGUGGGACGGGACACAGGGAAGGACCCUCGGGCAGGUGUGUGGGACGGGACACAGGGAAGGACCCUCGGGCAGGUGUGUGGGACGGGGCACAGGGCUGGUUCCUCCGGGGUCAUUUUUGGGACGGGGCACAGGGAAGGACCCUCAUGGAGCUGUGUGGGACGGGGCACAGGGAAGGACCCUCGGGCAGGUGUGUGGGACGGGGCACAGGGCUGGUUCCUCCGGGGUCAUUUUUGGGACGGGGCACAGGGAAGGACCCUCAUGGAGCUGUGUGGGACGGGGCACAGGGAAGGACCCUCGGGCAGGUGUGUGGGACGGGGCACAGGGCUGGUUCCUCCGGGGUCAUUUUUGGGACGGGGCACAGGGAAGGACCCUCAUGGAGCUGUGUGGGACGGGGCACAGGGAAGGACCCUCGGGCAGGUGUGUGGGACGGGCUGCGGCCCGCCCCGGCUCCGCCUCGAGCAUCCCCCGCCCCCGCCGCCUCCUCCUCCUUCCCCUUCUCCGCCUCCUGCGCCGCUCCCUCCGCCCCCUCCUGCCGCUCGGCCCUGGGACUCUGAGCGCAUCAGCGCCUGCCUGGGGAAACGAGCCUUUUAAAUCUAAUUUUCUUCCUAAGCGGGACGGGUCUUUUUCACCUUUUGCGGUUGGCGCUGUAUUUCAAGGCUGCUUUGAGACCCCUGCGCCGGGGCGUUCACCAAACUACAGAGCGGACCCAGUGUGGAAAAUAACUUAA